rnacentral:lncRNA from 1 species
UUCAUGUGCAGAAGUAAAAUUAACUCCAUGCCCAAAAACAUCAACACCAUAAGCUUCUUCAUUGGAGAAACCUUUAUUUCUUGGCUCCCGAUUAAAUCUUGUUUCAACAUCAUCCAUGUAUUUGGAGCAAAAUGUCAGACACUCAUCAGCAAUAUAUGCCUCGGCAAUUGAACCUUCUGGUCGUGACCUAUUUCUCACAUAUCGCUUCAAAGUAUAUAGCCGCCUUUCAAUUGGGUACAUCCACCCAUAUUGCACAGGACCCCUGAGCAAUGCCUCAUCAGGUAAAUGUACAGCAAGGUGUAUCAUCACAUCAAAGAAAGCUGGAGGGAAAAUUUUCUCAAGCUUCACCAAAAUUACAGGGAUUUC